rnacentral:misc_RNA from 1 species
ACAUUCUUGCAGUUGAUCGCACCUGUCAGGUUACAUACAUUAUGCAUAUUUAUCAUUCCUUUGAAGAUAUUACCCAACAAUAGAUGUUAUGGCCAGUAAUAACUUAAAGGGGAAAAAAUUGCAACAGGGUUUCAAUUGAUACAUCAUAGCUCUUCACAUCUAGAAUAUUUAAAAAGAGUUACAGAAGACUUUAAGGAACUACAUUGAGAAAAUUUUCAUUGUUUAUGACUCAACCAAAUCCAUCAAAGCAAAUCAUACAAUAAUAGAGAAUAUUCAACCAAACAAAGUUUCCUUUUUCAAUCCCUAAUUGUUAGAGCAUCACAGGCAAUAUUAUCAGAGAACAAGGAACAUAUACAAGAAAAACCCAUUAAAGAACCCCUUAAAGGAGAGAAGAAAAAUAAUGGAAAAUAGGCAACAUCUCAAAAACUAUCAAUUUCAUUUCAUGCACAAUUUCUCUACUUCAGUAUCGGUUCAUUGAAUGACACCACAUGAAAAAUGAAAAUAGUACCUUCUCAGUAAAUGAUUAUAAACUAUUCUAGAUCUAGUUUUGACAAUCUUAAGAAACUCUCAGCAUUUUUCUACAGUUUAAUUAGGUGUCAGAAAUAGUACCUUCAAAAGUAUUAAAGCACUCUUAUCCUAAAGAAAAUUCAGCAAAAAUACAAAUGAUAAA